UCCAAACACCUCGCCUAAGACCAAAAAAAGAAUUUCUUUUCGAAUUUUUACUUAAUUAGCUUAAUUUUGUAGCUAUUUAUUCUUAUAUUUUUAAAAGAUAUGAAUAUUUAUGCUAAUAGUAUAAAUCUUGAGAGAAAAAAAUUUAAUUUAAUAGCCGAAUUUUUUAUCCCGAAUUUUUAAUUAGUAAACAUAUAAUAUCCGUAUAAAUCACGUAUCCGAAUAAUUGAUAAAUCCGUUUUUUAGCCAUAUUUUUCAACGAAUUUAAAAAUUCGAAAACGAAUUUUAUCCGAAUUAUACCCGUACCGAAUUUUUGCCGAAUCCGAAUUAACUAACUAUGAUAGGGAAGCAGGAAAAAAUAAAAAAUAAGAAAUAAACUGGGAAAAAAAAAAA
rnacentral:lncRNA from 1 species